GACGGAGGGUGCUAGCGUUGUUCGGAAUUACUGGGCGUAAAGGGCGCGUAGGCGGCUCUGUCAGUCGGGUGUGAAAGCCCGGGGCUCAACCCCGGAACGGCACCCGAGACGGCGGGGCUGGAGACCGGGAGAGGAGGGUGGAAUAGCCAGUGUAGAGGUGAAAUUCGUAGAUAUUGGCUGGAACACCGGUGGCGAAGGCGGAUCUCUGGGCCUUACCUGACGCUGAGGAGCGAAAGCAUGGGGAGCAAACAGG
rnacentral:rRNA from 1 species